CCUACGGGAGGCAGCAGUAGGGAAUAUUGCUCAAUGGGGGAAACCCUGAAGCAGCAACGCCGCGUGGAGGAUGAAGGUUUUCGGAUUGUAAACUCCUUUUGUUAGAGAAGAUAAUGACGGUAUCUAACGAAUAAGCACCGGCUAACUCCGUGCCAGCAGCCGCGGUAAUACGGAGGGUGCGAGCGUUACUCGGAAUCACUGGGCGUAAAGAGUGCGUAGGCGGGAAGGGAAGUCAUAUUGGAAAACCUAUGGCUUAACCAUAGAACUACAUUUGAAACUGUUAUUCUUGAGUAUGGGAGGGGUAAGUGGAAUUCCUGGUGUAGGGGUAAAAUCCGUAGAGAUCAAGAGGAAUACUCAUAGCGAAGGCGAGCUGCUAGAACGUAACUGACGCUGAUACGCGAAAGCGUAGGGAGCAAACGGGAUUAGAUACCCUGGUAGUC
rnacentral:rRNA from 1 species